UACGUAGGGUGCGAGCGUUGUCCGGAAUUAUUGGGCGUAAAGAGCUCGUAGGCGGCUCGUCGCGUCGACCGUGAAAACCCGCAGCUUAACUGCGGGCUUGCGGUUGAUACGGGCGGGCUAGAGUUCGGUAGGGGAGACUGGAAUUCCUGGUGUAGCGGUGAAAUGCGCAGAUAUCAGGAGGAACACCGGUGGCGAAGGCGGCUCACUGGACCGGUACUGACGCUGAUGCGCGAAAGCGUGGGGAGCAAACGGG
rnacentral:rRNA from 1 species